rnacentral:rRNA from 1 species
GGACCUCCAAUCAGUCAAGAA